AGCAGCAGCCGCGGUAAUACGAAGGGUGCAAGCGUUACUCGGAAUUACUGGGCGUAAAGCGUGCGUAGGUGGUGGUUUAAGUCCGUUGUGAAAGCCCUGGGCUCAACCUGGGAAUUGCAGUGGAUACUGGGUCACUAGAGUGUGGUAGAGGAUAGUGGAAUUUCCGGUGUAGCAGUGAAAUGCGUAGAGAUCGGAAGGAACAUCUGUGGCGAAGGCGACUAUCUGGGCCAACACUGACACUGAGGCACGAAAGCGUGGGGAGCAAACAGGAUUAGAUACCCCGGUAGUCCCUGUCUCUUAUAC
rnacentral:rRNA from 1 species